CGACGUGCCAGUUCUUCCUGUUUGUGCCAGAGACGUCUCUGGGACAAACCGGAGACGUCUCGGCUGUCCCUGAUCUGUUUUCUUCAACUUAAAAAAUUCUUCAAUAAAUUCAUAAAAAUUAUGGGAACUUGCCUAGACAUUUCUUAACAAUAUUCUUAAUUAAACACCUAAAAUUCUCAAGUAAAUUGUUAAGAUAAAUGGAACUAUACUCUAGUAUUUUGUAUUCAUCAAAAUUCAUUAGG
rnacentral:lncRNA from 1 species